UGCAGUCGAGCGGACUUGAUGGAGUGCUUGCACUCCUGAUGGUUAGCGGCGGACGGGUGAGUAACACGUAGGUAACCUGCCCAUAAGACUGGGAUAACCCACGGAAACGUGAGCUAAUACCAGAUAGGCAUUUUCCUCGCAUGAGGGAGAUGAGAAAGGCGGAGCAAUCUGCCACUUAUGGAUGGACCUGCGGCGCAUUAGCUAGUUGGUGAGGUAACGGCUUACCAAGGCGACGAUGCGUAGCCGACCUGAGAGGGUGAUCGGCCACACUGGGACUGAGACACGGCCCAGACUCCUACGGGAGGCAGCAGUAGGGAAUCUUCCGCAAUGGACGAAAGUCUGACGGAGCAACGCCGCGUGAGUGAUGAAGGUUUUCGGAUCGUAAAGCUCUGUUGCCAGGGAAGAACGCCUAGGAGAGUAACUGCUCCUAGGGUGACGGUACCUGAGAAGAAAGCCCCGGCUAACUACGUGCCAGCAGCCGCGGUAAUACGUAGGGGGCGAGCGUUGUCCGGAAUUAUUGGGCGUAAAGCGCGCGCAGGCGGCAAUGUAAGUUGGGUGUUUAAACCUAGGGCUCAACCUUGGGUCGCAUCCAAAACUGCA
rnacentral:rRNA from 1 species